UUCAAAGAGAUAAACGGGUGAGUAAUACCUGAUUGGAUGUCUUUGCAGGCCUUCUCUGAUGCUUCAGUUCUUUUUGGAAGCCUGGAAAGAGCAAAGCACUGGCAUUUUAUGUAUACGCAUCUGGUGCUUUUUGAAAGCCUAUAUUGUUUCCUCAGAGGAAGAUCGACCCAGAAGAUGCCGGAUGGUAAUCAGAAGCAGUGACGCUGGUGUUGCUGACACUGACCUAAGCAACAAUCUCCACGGAAAGGAAGAUUAACGUGAUAGAUUGUAACAUCUCCAUAGAAGUACUAAAGCAUUUCUAAGGUGGACCAACCAAGUGGCGAAAAUGAACUGGAACUAGCGCUUCGGCCAACAGCAGGACCUCCUGGGCCCAUGGGCACAGUUUAACUGUUUCCAUGUAGAUCAACUCAUUGGCAACCGAAGGUUUUGAACUGCCUGCAUACUAUUGAAAUUUGGGGUCAAUCAGACUCCAUUACCACUAACCCAAGCGAUCAGGCACUGAACAAGAAGGAGUAUAAAUAAUAGCAGCACCAAGCCCUCAACCACUCCUGGGAAAUUUCAGAAUCACCUUUCCAUACCCUAAUGGGCAAGUAUGUGUUUACUGUUCUUGUGGAACGACAAGCGACUGUAGCCUUAUAACCUCCCCAGGGAUUUUAAGAAUUUCUUUUUUCUUCUCAUUGAAGCCUACUUACUGACUUCUUGCUCUUAGCAUUUUCAGCUUCAGGAAUUCCCUUUUGAAGGAAUGAAUGCAUGAGCAAUAACUAAUGCACUCCAGAAUGAUGUUUGCCACUCAUCGAGUUUUGUUUUCUUGGUUUUGCCAAGAACAUAAAGAGCUUCUGCUGCUUUUUGUUUUCUACAAACUACAUCUGAAAGCAUUUGGGUGACUAAGCCAUGAAAAGAAAUGAAAAGGCAAAUAGGCGGUGGAAUGUCAUUGAAUCCUCUUGGCCUAAGAGGGCACAGCAUUAGGUGAUGAAUGUCAGUCGGCUGAUAUUGUAAGCUCCCUAAGGGACAAGGACAGUGAGUCAUUUAUUCCUAUUGUAUGUUCUUAAAUGUCCAGCACGGAGUUCUGCGUACAGGGGGUGCUCAAUAAAUUCUGGUGCCAUUGGGGAUGAUGGAGACACAGAAUGCAAUCCUGGCAAUGUGCCCAGAAAACUGUCAAUCUGUUAUUCAAACAACCAGGGCAGGAAUAGUGAGGAAGAGACCCAAUCAACCACUCAAAUGAUUGUACUUAUUGAGUGCUUACUGUGUGCAGAGAACUUUACUAAGUGUU